UACAGGGGGUGCAAGCGUUACUCGGAUUUACUGGGCGUAAAGAGCGUGUAGGCGGUUUGUUAAGUCGGGUGUGAAAUCCCUGGGCUCAAUCCAGGAAGUGCAUUCGAUACUGACAGACUAGAGUGUCGGAGGGGUGAGCGGAAUUCCCGGUGUAGAGGUGAAAUUCGUAGAUAUCGGGAGGAACAACAGAGGCGAAGGCGGCUCACUGGACGAUUACUGACGCUAAGGCGCGAAAGCGUGGGGAGCAAACAGG
rnacentral:rRNA from 1 species